GGAAGUAAAAGUCGUAACAAGGUCUCCGUUGGUGAACCAGCGGAGGGAUCAUUGCUGGAACGCGCUUCGGCGCACCCAGAAACCCUUUGUGAACUUAUACCUUACUGUUGCCUCGGCGCAGGCCGGCCCCUCCACGGGGGCCCCUCGGAGACGAGGAGCAGCCCGCCGGCGGCCAACCAAACUCUUGUUUCUUAGUGAAUCUCUGAGUAAAAAACAUAAAUGAAUCAAAACUUUCAACAACGGAUCUCUUGGUUCUGGCAUCGAUGAAGAACGCAGCGAAAUGCGAUAAGUAAUGUGAAUUGCAGAAUUCAGUGAAUCAUCGAAUCUUUGAACGCACAUUGCGCCCUCUGGUAUUCCGGAGGGCAUGCCUGUUCGAGCGUCAUUUCAACCCUCAAGCACUGCUUGGUGUUGGGGCACCGCCUGUAAAAGGGCGGGCCCUGAAAUCUAGUGGCGAGCUCGCCAGGACCCCGAGCGUAGUAGUUAUAUCUCGCUCUGGAAGGCCCUGGCGGUGCCCUGCCGUUAAACCCCCAACUUCUGAAAUUUUGACCUCGGAUCAGGUAGGAAUACCCGCUGAACUUAAGCAUAUCAAUAAGCGGAGGAA
rnacentral:rRNA from 1 species